CCCAUUGCUAUGUGAUGAUUAGCUGUUGGUAGGGACAUCUGAAUCGAUGUGAAGAAACGCCAACUAUCCUGACAGCAUGGG